rnacentral:rRNA from 1 species
GUACGGGGGAGCAAGCGUUGUUCGGAUUUACUGGGCGUAAAGGGCGCGGUAGGCGGUCGUGACAAGUCACUUGUGAAAUCUCCGGGCUUAACUCGGAACGGUCAAGUGAUACUGUCGGACUAGAGUACAGAAGGGGCAACUGGAAUUCUCGGUGUAGCGGUGAAAUGCGUAGAUAUCGAGAGGAACACCUGCGGCGAAGGCGGGUUGCUGGGCUGAUACUGACACUGAGGCGCGAAAGCUAGGGGAGCGAACGGG